UACGAGGGGGGCGAGCGUUGUUCGGAAUUAUUGGGCGUAAAGGGUGCGUAGGCGGUUCCGCAAGUCCUGUGUGAAAUCUUCGGGCUCAACUCGAAGUCUGCACGGGAAACUGCUGGGCUUGAGUGUGGGAGAGGUGAGUGGAAUUCCCGGUGUAGCGGUGAAAUGCGUAGAUAUCGGGAGGGACACCUGUGGCGAAAGCGGCUCACUGGACCGCAACUGACGCUGAGGCGCGAAAGCUAGGGGAGCAAACAGG
rnacentral:rRNA from 1 species